AGACAGCAGCCGCCGCGGUAAUACGUAGGUGGCAAGCGUUGUCCGGAAUUAUUGGGCGUAAAGGGCUCGCAGGCGGUUUCUUAAGUCUGAUGUGAAAGCCCCCGGCUCAACCGGGGAGGGUCAUUGGAAACUGGGAAACUUGAGUGCAGAAGAGGAGAGUGGAAUUCCACGUGUAGCGGCGAAAUGCGUAGAGAUGUGGAGGAACACCAGUGGCGAAGGCGACUCUCUGGUCUGUAACUGACGCUGAGGAGCGAAAGCGUGGGGAGCGAACAGGAUUAGAUACCCGAGUAGUCCCUGUCUCUUAUAC
rnacentral:rRNA from 1 species